GUGGCGUCAACUCAUACCUUUGGUUCAUGUCAAUUAUAGACAUCGGGUCAUUGUUUUUAUACUUUUGGUUCAUGAUUAUCCAUAAUCAUUGGGUCAAGGGUUUUUAUAAUUUUGGUUCGUGUCAAUUAUAGGUAUUGGGUCAAGGUUAAUUACGUGACGAAACUGAUUCAAUCCUGGGAAAAUAGCUUCUUGAGUGUUGGGUCUUACGUCAAAUCAUCAAGGUUCACAUCAGUUGGUAUCAGAGCCGAAUCGAAUCAGGUUACAAUCAUGUCAUCAUGCCAAAAUAAAAGUUCUACUAAAAGUGAUGAUUUGAGGACAAAUCAUUUUAAAGAGAGGGGGAAUGAUGUGAUCCAUAGAAGACCAAGAACAUGCGAUCUAAUAAUGAAAAACUAUGACAAGAGUGUGGUAGGCUGUAUAACACUGUAAACAUUGAAGACAUAAGCUAAAGGUAAGAAGCAUGAUAUGGCAAUCAAAGAUGACGUGGAGAGCAUCAAACACAUAGAAAAUGAUAUGGCACAUCCUUGGUGACGUUUUUACUUGACAAAAUAUGAAAUGGAAGCUUAAUUAGGCAAAAAUUCAUGUGAAGAAAGCAAGGGAAUUCAAUUGAAGUUCAAUUUCCUAGUA